rnacentral:lncRNA from 1 species
CUCUCUCUCCCCUCUUCAUGUCCAAGAGGUUGGGUAUCCAUCUGGUGCUAAUCCAAAGCGUGGUGGCUCCUUGAUCAGGAGGCUGCGGCAAUCUGUUGAGAAACUGCUGCUCUAACUUCAGAAGCUCUUUUGAAGAACUUUCAGAUCAGAUCCAGAUCUGAUUUUUGGAGUGAAGAUUCGCGAGGAGAAGACGAUCCAGAUCCUGCUCGAGUGGAUACUGAUAGAGGUCAGGCGACUGCGUGGCUAUAUCAGAACCUCAGACAUUGCUGCGAUCUUCUACAGGGU